AGGGCACCACCAGGAGUGGAGCCUGCGGCUUAAUUUGACUCAACACGGGAAAACUUACCCGGCCCGGACACUGGAAGGAUUGACAGAUUGAGAGCUCUUUCUUGAUUCAGUGGGUGGUGGUGCAUGGCCGUUCUUAGUUGGUGGAGCGAUUUGUCUGGUUAAUUCCGAUAACGAACGAGACUCUAGCCUACUAAAUAGACUGUUCAGCUUUAUAGCCGGAAUCACCGGGCAUGUAGCUCUCACGGGUUGCAUGUUCGGCUCUGGUGACGUUGGCAGUGCUUCUUAGAGGGACAGGCGGCGGUUCAGCCGCACGAAACAGAGCAAUAACAGGUCUGUGAUGCCCUUAGAUGUCCGGGGCUGCACGCGCGCUACACUGAAGUGAUCAGCGUGCAAUUUACGUUUGGUGAUCUGUCAAGAUUGCCCAACCCGUUGAGCCUUCUUCGUGAUUGGGAUAGGGGAUUGUAAUUAUUCCCCUUGAACGAGGAAUUCCCAGUAAGCGCGAGUCAUAAGCUUGCGUUG
rnacentral:rRNA from 1 species